AUGUGCUUAAUGAGUCUACUGUUAUCCUGUAAGGAAAAGAAAAAAAUGAUUUUGAUAGAUGAUGGCCUCGGUCAUAUCAUCAAAUCAAAUACAGAAAAUUCAGGAACAGACUGCAUGGUGUCUUCCAGUUUAGUUAUUCACAAAACUGAUUCUUCCAAAGUAAACGGAACAAGUGUGACUAAAAAUGUAAACUCAAACCAGAAGGUCACAACACAAACUGUGAUGCAUAAAGGACAGAAGGCUGUUUCACAGACUCCAUGGUUAGUUUACAACGACCAGAUGUUCAAACACUCAGCGUACAGGAAUUCCACAAGACGUACAUACAGAGAAAAUUUUCAGAAACUACUUGCUCUCCAAACCCGUGAUGAGCAACGUGGUAUUUACAAAGCGCACUGUUACACAGAUGAAGGACAACCUGCAGCCAGUGAUGAACUGGACGCAAUAUCCAUUCCAGAGGACGACUUUCAUCCAGAGAUGCUUAAAAAUCUGGACAGCAGGUUCAGUCGGCUAGCAACAAUCUCCAGACCUGACCUGAUGAGAAGGUGAACAUUAUCUCAGAACGUGUAGCCUAAAUAUAAAUAUUUAGGGGGGGGGGGAAGACUACAGUUCUAUAGUAUCAAUGAUGAUAAAUAGAACUCCGUUUGCAUUUCCUGAAUGCAAAAAUACAUGCUUGCAAAGCAACAACGGAAUAGUAUAAAUAGUUUAAGGUGAGCUCAGGUUUUUGGCUUUUGUUCUGUUUAUUUUCUUUCUGUAUUUUUUGCACUGUGUUCAUGUGGAAUAAUUUGCAGGCAUUUAAUAAAAAAAAAUAUAUAGUGUUGUAAUUAUUUAAU
ensembl:lncRNA